ensembl:lncRNA
UGAAGGAAACAUUAUUUAGUGGUGUGCAAAACUAAGAGGGAUUUAAUUUCAUUUGCUGAUCUAACGUGUUGGUCUGCUUUCCAGUGACUGCAGUGUAUAAGUGGUGAAUUCUUGUUAAUGGCUGGCUGAAACAAUUUCCCAAAGUCUUAGCACGAGUGCUGUGCAGUUUUUCCCCCCAACAGCUAUUGGUAAAUGGUGCGAGGAAAGGAUUACCCUCUUAUAAAAAUUCUCCCGGUCUCGUAGUAGGACAGGCUGUCCUAUUCCUGUUCAUCACAAGCUGGUGAUCGUCCCGCUGCACUCAGCCCUGGGGAGGCUGCAGUGCUGUGCUCAGCUCUGGGCCCCUCACUACAAGACCAGACACCGAGGCCCUGCAGUGUGUCCAGAGAAGGGCAUGGAGCUGUGAGGGGUCUGUAGUGGAAGUUGCAUGAGGAGCAGCUGAGGAAAUGGGUUCAGUCUGGAGAAGAGGAGGCUCAGGGGAGACCUUAUUGCUCUCUGCACCUCCCUGGAAAGAGGCUGUGUGGAGGCAGGAGUCGACCUCUGCUCCCAGGUGUGGAAGCCACCAGCAAAGUAGGUGUCAUCCUUCUUAGCUAUUAACUGUAAUAACGCACCCGUUCCUAAAAGCCUUAAAUUGAAUAAUCUGGCAAAUGGUGAUGGAUGAUUUCGGUGUUUCUAAAGCAGCUCUUUCCCAUUCAGCUGAGGUCAAAGCCCUUAGAGGAGGGGAUGAAAUGCACCGCGUGUGACCGUGCUGCUCAGCCUCUUCUUUGCAUGUCCUGGGGCCUCCGAGCUGCUGAUCGGGCAUCUCUCAUGAAGGCAGUGAUCACAGCACCCUGAUGUGGUGGUUUAUUUCUCCGACAUGAGCACCUUCUAGCAGGGCUUCUCUGCUGAAUGCUAUUAGGAAACGCCAAUUUCCAACCGGAUCUGCACAUCUGGGGAUACGUGAUUUAGGCAUUGGCCGGACUUGCAUUACUGAUGGAAUUGGAUGGAUGUGAAAGCUGUAAAAUGGCCACUUGAGCAAAGAUGGUCCACGUUUUUCAGAUGACUCUUACUCCUGCUAAGGCGUGGAAGAUGCUCACACGCUGCUCACGCAGUGCCACCCCCUGCCCAGUGCUGCUUCCUAACAGAACUGACGUUUUUCUGCCUGAAAGGUCCCAGUAACCGACGUGGUUAAACCAAGUGGCAAAAGUACUUGAUAUGAGCCAUAUGAUCUCGUGCUACCUUAUAAUAAGACUAAAAAAAACACUCCCUAGGAACUACUUAAGGAGUGGAUUAAAACACAAACCCAGUAGCUGAUGUAUGCCUCGGUGGAAAGGAAAGGUGCGAUGCCCCGCACGGGGCUUCCAGCGGGGCGGGGCCGG